rnacentral:rRNA from 1 species
GACAGAGGGUGCAAACGUUGCUCGGAAUUACUGGGCGUAAAGCGCGUGUAGGCGGGCUUGUAAGUGAGAUGUGAAAUCCCUGGGCUCAACCCAGGAACUGCAUUUCAAACUGCAGGUCUCGAGUGACGGAGAGGGAAGCGGAAUUCCUGGUGUAGAGGUGAAAUUCGUAGAUAUCAGGAGGAACACCGGUGGCGAAGGCGGCUUCCUGGACGUCCACUGACGCUGAGACGCGAAAGCGUGGGGAGCAAACAGG